CAGCCGCCGCGGUAAUACCGGCGGCCCGAGUGGCGGUCACUAUUAUUGGGCUUAAAGCGUCCGUAGCCGGGUUGGGAAGUCCUCCGGGAAAUCUGGCCGCUUAACGGUCAGAAUGCCGGAGGAUACUCCCAGCCUAGGGAGCGGGAGAGGCCGAGGGGAUUCCCGGGGUAGGGGUGAAAUCCUAUAAUCCCGGGAGGACCACCUGUGGCGAAGGCGCUCGGCUGGAACGCGGCCGACGGUGAGGGACGAAGGCCAGGGGAGCAAACCGGAUUAGAUACCCGGGUAGUCCUGGCUGUAAACGAUGCGGACUUUGUGUCGGACAAGCUAUGAGCUUGUCCGGUGCCGGAGGGAAACCGUUAAGUCCGCCGCCUGGGGAGUACGGCCGCAAGGCUGAAACUUAAAGGAAUUGGCGGG
rnacentral:rRNA from 1 species